rnacentral:lncRNA from 1 species
AUGAUCUGUUUAAUUACAGUCAAAGAAAUUUUGCAAUGCUAUGCUGCCUUGGAUGGUGGUAAUAAUAAUGGAAUGUAUCGAGGGUCGUGGCUACAUGGACUGAUGGCUAUAAAGGGGAUGAUUUCCAGCGAGCAGAGUCAUUGCAUGAUGCACAUCUUGUUGCUAAAGAUCAUCAGGUUAUGACAGAGCCAUCUUGGGUCUCAGUACGAACAGUGGGAAAGAUUCUACCUCAAGAGAACCCAGCUUUACCUCUGAGCACUUAAAGGAGUGUGUGAGGAGACCACUGGCAAAAAUUUAGGGUAUGUCGCUGAU